CCUACGGGAGGCAGCAGUGGGGAAUAUUGCACAAUGGGGGAAACCCUGAUGCAGCGACGCCGCGUGAGUGAAGAAGUAAUUCGUUAUGUAAAGCUCUAUCAGCAGGGAAGAAAAUGACGGUACCUGAGUAAGAAGCCCCGGCUAACUACGUGCCAGCAGCCGCGGUAAUACGUAGGGGGCAAGCGUUAUCCGGAUGUACUGGGUGGAAAGGGAGCGUAGACGGCAGUGCAAGUCUGGAGUGAAAGGCGGGGGCUCAACCCCCGGACUGCUCUGGAAACUGUACGGCUGGAGUGCAGGAGAGGUAAGUGGAAUUCCUAGUGUAGCGGUGAAAUGCGUAGAUAUUAGGAGGAACACCAGUGGCGAAGGCGGCUUACUGGACUGUAACUGACGUUGAGGCUCGAAAGCGUGGGGAGCAAACAGGAUUAGAUACCCCAGUAGUC
rnacentral:rRNA from 1 species